AAAUUGAAGAGUUUGAUCAUGGCUCAGAUUGAACGCUGGCGGCAGGCCUAACACAUGCAAGUCGAGCGGCAGCGGGAAAGUAGCUUGCUACUUU
rnacentral:rRNA from 2 species